CUGCAACUCGACUACAUGAAGCUGGAAUCGCUAGUAAUCGCAGAUCAGAAUGCUGCGGUGAAUACGUUCCCGGGUCUUGUACACACCGCCCGUCACACCAUGGGAGUCGGAAAUGCCCUAAGCCGGUGACCCAACCAAAAGGAGGGAGCCGUCGAAGGCAGGUCUGAUAACUGGGGUGAAGUCGUAACAAGGUAAC
rnacentral:rRNA from 1 species